rnacentral:Y_RNA from 1 species
GGCUAGUAUGGGAGCAGUCGUGUUUACAGUUAAUUGAUUGCAACCAGUUAUAGAUUCUUUGUUCCUUCAUUCCCACUACUUCACUUGUCUAACAUUUU